UACGUAGGGUGCGAGCGUUUGUCCGGAAUUAUUGGGCGUAAAGGGCUCGUAGGCGGUCUGUUGCGUCGGGAGUGAAAACUCAGGGCUUAACCCUGAGCCUGCUUCCGAUACGGGCAGACUAGAGGUAUGCAGGGGAGAACGGAAUUCCUGGUGUAGCGGUGAAAUGCGCAGAUAUCUGGAGGAAUACCGGUGGCGAAGGCGGCAUCCUGGACCGGCAUUGACGCUGAGGAGCGAAAGCCAGGGGAGCAAACGGG
rnacentral:rRNA from 1 species